rnacentral:rRNA from 1 species
UCUUAGUACGGCGAGUGACAGAGAUUAGCCCAGCACCGAAGCCUGCGCUGCUUAGCGUAAGGCAAUGUGGUGUUCAGGUGUAGACCUGGGUUUGGUCAUUGGCUCUAAGUCCAUUCUUGAAAAUGGCUGCUAAAACGGGUGAUAGCCCCGUACGAGUCAAUGUAGUGCAUACCAUUCCUUAGAUGUCUAUUCCUUGGAGUCGGAUUGUUUGAGAAUGCAGUCCAAAGUUGGUGGUAAACUCCAUCAAAGGCUAAAUACCUGCGUGAGUCCGAUAGCUAACAAGUACCGUGAGGGAAAGUUGAAAAGUACUCUAAAUAGAGAGUAAAUAGUACGUGAAACUACAUGGAGGUUAACCGAACGGAGUCAGACUUCUUCGACUGUUGCAAUUUAGCCUGAGUUGUGUGAAAGGUUAGCUUUGCUGUGGGAUUGCUCAAACUCUUUCGUGUGCUUUUGUUGCAUUGAACGAGUUCAUGGCAAUGGCUAAUUCUCAGGUGAUUUUGUGUCGGUUAGCAGCUCAUUCAGUGUCCUCUUCUCGAUACCUUGAUAAACAUAAUGAGCUUUGAGCAAUCAGAGCACGUUAUGAUGGCAGAAAUCAGGGUUCCUUCGGGUUCUUUGGUUAAAGUGGCUUCGGCCUGCUUUCAGGGACAUCAAGAUAGAGGUUCACUGGUUGAUUGGUAAGGAGUGCCAUUGGUUGAAAAAUGUCUAGUUGUUGCAUCGUCACAAGUGAGGUG